rnacentral:tRNA from 1 species
GUAGGUAUAGCUCAGUGGUAGAGCGCAUACUUAGCAUGCUUAGUAUGCAUGAAGUCCUGAGUACAAUCCCCGGUACCUCCA